GAGCUUUCUUCAGUAGCACACACACUAAAAUUGGAAAGAUACAGAGAUUAGCAUGGCCCCUGCAGAAGGAUGUCACACAAAUUUGUGAGGCAUUCCAUAUUUUU
ensembl:snRNA Gm23421 U6 spliceosomal RNA